rnacentral:rRNA from 1 species
AUGACCGUGACGCUCCAGGAUAUUGCUAUGAUCACCGGUCUUUCUAUCGAUGGCAAUCCUUUAUGUAUGAACACCGAUUCUGAUGGGUGGCGCGCGCAGAUGCAUGCCCUUAUCGGUAUGGUUCCUCCGGAGCCUCGGGAACCAGAAGCAGAAGAUAAGAAGAAGGAAAGAGUCGCAGCCGGCGCUACUUUCACGUGGAUAUCAUCGAACUUCAGUACUUGCCCCGAGGAUGCUAAUGAGGACAUGGUGAAGACAUAUGCUCGUGUCUACAUGUGGUACGUGAUAUCCAGGACUAUGUUUGCUGAUGGCACAGGUAAGAAUGCUCCAUGGAUGUGGCUGAAGGCGUUGACCGUCUUCGAUGGCAAAUGGAGUUGGGGUUCGGCGACACUGGCUUACUUGUAUCGACAGUUGGACGAAGCCUGUUGUAGGCACACUGGAGGUAUUGGUGGUUGUCUGCUCGCACUUUCCAUAUGGAGCUGGGAGCGUUUGCCGAUUGGACGACCGAAGACUGUGAAGUACGAGGAUUGGGACGACAAAGACGACUCACUACGGCUCCCCACUUGGGCUUACAAGUGGGAUGUGUUAAAUGAGACGACGGAUGAUCCCUCGGUAAUGUACAAGUUGUACAAGAGCGAGCUGGACGCGAUCACGCCUGAGCAGGUGGAAUGGGAGCCGUAUGGAAAAGGAGAGAGUUUUGGUAACCCUAUAGAGUUCAGGCUGAAGCCGAUGUGCACUAGGGAUAGGGAUCUCUGGCAUAUGCGGUCCCCACCGAUAUGCAACUGGGCGGUUGAGCUUCACCUGCCACAUCGGGUGUUCCGCCAGUUUGGUUUAUUCCAGCCACACCCGUCGGAGUGGGAGGACACGGACAAGUUGCUACACGCGUUCGAUAGGAAAAAGCAACGGAAGAUCAAGGAUUGGGCCAAGCAUCACAGGAAGUAUGUCGUGCAGUUCGCUCUUAGUGUGGAGCAAGCAAAGGCUGGAAAACGAGCCCAGCUUCGUGAGCACUGCCCGAUCGCGUUCAACAACUAUCUCACAUGGUUUCUUGCAAGUACCCGCGUGGAGGUAUGCAAGCCGGCGUAUGCUGAGGAGAUUCUGGAAGAACCCACCAUUUUUGAUGAGGUAGCCCAGCACCAGUACAACGCAUUAGUCAGGAAAGGCAACUCAGUGAUGCCUUCAGCUCCAGUGAUGAACUUUGUGCGUGCCCAGAUCAAGAAAGCAGCUGAUGAGACCGAGACUAUUCUGGAAACAACCCCGGCUGGCAAAAGCGAUGGGGAAGGUGCACUUCGAGCAUUCAUUAAGCGCCAGGGCCAAAAGUUAAGGUGGCUAUCAAACUUUUUCGGUUGUCGUGACCCCGAGUAUGUAUCACUAGAAUGGUCUAGGUCGGCGACACCAUCAGAUCCGCUUCGGGGCAGGGCCAUGAUGAACCUUUCGAGGAUGAGGAUGUGGGUGUGGUCACCCAAGAGGUUACUGAUGAUAUGA